CCUGGCGUCAGGAUGAACGCUGGCGGCGUGCUUAACACAUGCAAGUCGAACGGAGUGCCCUUCGAAGGAGUUUUACGGUACGAACUGAAAGGACGUACUUAGUGGCGGACGGGUGAGUAACGCGUGAGUAACCUGCCUUGGAGUGGGGAAGUAACAGUUGGAAACAGCUGCUAAUACCGCAUAAUAUGUCUGUGUCGCAUGGCACUGGACAUCAAAGAUUUAUCGCUCUGAGAUGGACUCGCGUCUGAUUAGCUGGUUGGCGGGGUAACGGCCCACCAAGGCGACGAUCAGUAGCCGGACUGAGAGGUUGGCCGGCCACAUUGGGACUGAGACACGGCCCAGACUCCUACGGGAGGCAGCAGUGGGGAAUAUUGGGCAAUGGGCGCAAGCCUGACCCAGCAACGCCGCGUGAAGGAAGAAGGCUUUCGGGUUGUAAACUUCUUUUCUCAGGGACGAAGAAAGUGACGGUACCCGAGGAAUAAGCCACGGCUAACUACGUG
rnacentral:rRNA from 1 species